GUCCCUUUAGUGCAGUGGAUAGCACAUGUUGAACUUCUAAUCCAAAGGUCGUGGGUUUGAAUCCCAAAUGGGAUG